rnacentral:lncRNA from 1 species
CUUUCUGUUUCUAUAGAUUGGUCUGUUCUGGACAUUUCAUAUAAAUGGAACCAUACAGUAUGUGCUCGUGACUAGCUUCUUUCACCUGGCAUAAUGUUUCCAAGGUUUAUCCAUGCCAUGUUGUAGCGUGGACUUUCUUCCCGGUUUACCUGCAUCUGUGAUGUGGCCAUGCAUACUGGUGCUUCCCACCUGUGAACUCAGGUCUGUGGUUCUCUGGGUUUUUCUGGUAUCAUGGGAGCUUGCUCAGCUU